GUGGCGGACGGGUGAGUAAUGUCUGGGAAACUGCCCGAUGGAGGGGGAUAACUACUGGAAACGGUAGCUAAUACCGCAUACCAUCGGAUGUGCCCAGAUGGGAUUAGCUAGUAGGUGGGGUAACGGCUCACCUAGGCGACGCUCCCUAGCUGGUCUGAGAGGAUGACCAGCCACACUGGCACUGAGACACUGUCCAUCUUCCUACGGGAGGGAGCAGUGUGUAAUAUUGCCCAAGGGGUGCAAGCCUGAUGUCGCCAUGCCGCGUGUAUGGUGAAGGACUUCUGGUUGUAAAGUACUUUCAGCGAGGAGGCGUUACUCGAAGAAGAAGCUCCGGCUAACUCCGUGUCAGCAGCCGCGGUAAUAC
rnacentral:rRNA from 1 species